rnacentral:lncRNA from 1 species
UCUCUCUUCUCGAGGAUAUCAUCUCUCUUGUCGAGGAUAUCAUCUCUCUUGUCGAGGAUAGGGUAUCAUCUGUCUUGUACAGGGUAUCAUCUUUCUUGUACAGGGUAUCAUCUUUCUUGUACAGGGUAUCAUCGGCUUUGGCUUCUUGAUCACUUGUCUCAUCAUCUUUUAAGUUACGCCUGGCAUAAUAAUGCCUUAAGAAAGGUGACAACAAAUCUAACCGAUCACCGAAGGGUUUCAUGAAAUAUUCUAUAGCUCCAAGUUGGAAAGCCUUUAUCAUGGAAAACCAAGUAAUAUCC